rnacentral:misc_RNA from 1 species
AUAUAUUAGGCACUUUAUCCUUAUUUUGUUGAAAAAACAAAGGAUCAACAAUGUCUUUCCCUCACAUAAUUCGCAGCGCCAUUCGAAGCACAUCAUCAAAGAUUGCACUUUUAGCAAGAUCAACGACCCCUUUCACUAAUCGAUCCUUUUGUUCAAGUUUUGAAUCGGAGAAGAAUAGUACAGCACCAUCAGAGGCCUCUUACUACCAUCUAAGUGGUGGUCCUUCUCAUAUGCGUGCUGCUGUGUUUUGGGAACCAGGCAAACCCCUCACCUUUGAAGAUUUCCAUAUGCCUCGACCUAAAGCUAAUGAAGUUCUCAUCAAAACUAAAGCUUGUGGGGUCUGCCACUCUGACCUGCAUGUAAUAAAGGGUGAACUUCCAUUCGCUAGCCCUUGUGUUGUGGGGCAUGAGAUAACUGGUGAAGUGGUUGAACACGGACAGCUCUCAGACAGUAAAAUCAUUGAAAGGUUUCCUGUGGGAUCUCAAGUUGUUGGAGCUUUCAUCAUGCCUUGUGGUAGCUGUUCUUUCUGCUCUAAGGGUCAAGAUGACUUAUGUGAGGAUUUCUUUGCUUACAACCGAGCGAAGGGAACCCUUUAUGAUGGGGAAACGCGACUGUUCCUCCGUAAUAGUGGUAAGCCGGUGUAUAUGUAUAGCAUGGGAGGUCUAGCUGAAUACUGUGUAGUUCCUGCACAUGCAUUGGCUGUUCUACCAAAUUCAUUACCAUACACAGAAUCCGCCAUUUUAGGAUGUGCAGUUUUUACUGCCUAUGGGGCUAUGGCUCAUGCUGCUGAGGUGCGCCCAGGUGAUGCUAUUGCUGUGAUUGGUAUAGGAGGUGUUGGCUCAAGCUGUCUGCAAAUAGCAAGAGCAUUUGGGGCGUCAGAGAUUAUUGCUGUAGAUGUUCAAGAUGAGAAAUUGCAGAAAGCUAAAUUCCUUGGAGCCACUCAUUGUGUAAAUGCAUCAAAGGUGGAUGCAGUGAAGACAAUCAAGGACAUCACGGGAGGCUCUGGUGUUGACGUAGCUGUUGAAGCUUUGGGAAGACCACAAACAUUCUUACAAUGUGUGCAAAGCGUUCGCGAUGGAGGCAAAGCUGUGAUGAUUGGACUUACACUAUCUGGUGUUAAGGGGGAGGUCGAUAUCAACCACCUAGUGCGACGACAGAUAAAAGUAAUUGGCUCCUAUGGAGCCAGAGCAAGACAAGAUCUCCCUAAGCUGAUUAAACUAGCCGAGAGUGGCAUAUUCAAUCUAUCUGCUGCUGUUUCAAGGACCUGCAAAUUUGAAGACGCUCCACAGGCAUACAAAGAUCUUGAUCAGGGAACCAUUGCUGGACGCGCUGUUGUUGAAAUAAUGUAAAUUUGAUACUUACAUCACUCAUUUUAACAUUCAUGUGAACUUCUAUUUCUGGUGAUCUACUAGCGCUAGCAAACGUUACUGUUGGCGUUAAAUGAAACAAA